UACGUAGGCAGCGAGCGUUGUCCGGAAUCAUUGGGCGUAAAGAGCGUGUAGGCGGCUCGGUAAGUCCGCUGUGAAAGUCCAGGGCUCAACCCUGGAAUGCCGGUGGAAACUGUCGGGCUAGAGUCCGGAAGAGGCGAGUGGAAUUCCUGGUGUAGCGGUGAAAUGCGCAGAUAUCAGGAGGAACACCAAUGGCGAAGGCAGCUCGCUGGGACGGUACUGACGCUGAGACGCGAAAGCGUGGGGAGCAAACAGG
rnacentral:rRNA from 1 species